rnacentral:piRNA from 1 species
UGGUUACCUAUUUACUGGCUUGGUUUUC